UGGGGAAUUUUCCGCAAUGGGCGAAAGCCUGGCGGAGCAAUGCCGCGUGGAGGUGGAAGGCCUACGGGUCGUCAACUUCUUUUCUCGGAGAAGAAACAAUGACGGUAUCUGAGGAAUAAGCAUCGGCUAACUCUGUGCCAG
rnacentral:rRNA from 1 species